rnacentral:sRNA from 1 species
UACAAGUUAACGACCGCAGACAGUAGGUGAGUAUUCUUAAUUUCCUACCGAGGUUUGAAAUUUCAAGGAUAAUAUUUUGAUUUUCAAGUCUCACAAGCGGUGUGAGAUUUUUUAUUUA